CAGUCUCCCUGACGCAGGAGACACCGUGGUCACGAAGGCUGUUUUCCCAGGGCGAGGCUCACCUGGUGGCGCUGACCCCUGCGAAUAACCCAGGUGUGAUUAACUCGAGUGCGAAAUUCUUGGUAGCGGGGGGGACAGUGUUCGCGCUAUCCCCCU